AACUCCAAAAGUUCUAAAUAAAACAUUUUGAAUGAUGUAAGGAGAUGUUGAUCCUUAUAAAUUAUAAAGUGUUACAUGCAAAUAAGAACAGAUAUGGCUGAAAUUGUUAAAUUUGUUUAUAUUAUAAUUAUGUUUCUUAUUGCAACAAACGUUGAAGCAUGGAAAUUCAGAUGUUUUAAAGAUUCAGAUUGUCCCAGAAAUAUUUGUCGAAACCCUUUGGUGCCCAAGUGUAUGCACACAAUACAAUGUAGAUGUGUUUUUACAGGGCAUUAAAUACCGACAGGAUUCCUUAAUGUUGUCAUUUAGUCAUAGUGUUGGUGCCUAAUAAUUUACUUGUUCUACGCUAUGCUUUGGAAUCAUAAGGAGAGAAGAGAAAAAGAGAACUUCAAAAUUUUUAUUAAAAAAUAUUUAAAAUUUUAAUAAUAAUUUAAAGAAUGAUCUGUGAAGAAUAUCAAUCAAUUCAUAUUUUUUUUAAUUUUUAACAUAGAUUAUAUUUUAAUAAUUAAUCUAAUAAACCUCACCAAAAUCCUUCAAACCCCUUUUUCAUUGUAAUUUUCAAUUCUUCAAAUAAGGAAAAUUUACUUUAUGUAAAAUUAAAGUUCUCAAAAUUCUCUCUAUCUAACUUUCUCUAUUCGUUUUAUCAAUUCUCUCUUUUUUUUUAAACGCUCUCUUCUAUUUUCAUCCAAAGUCCCAAACAAAACUUUAAAAUUUUUAUUAAUUAUGUGAUGUCAAUAUCUUUUGAAUCAUGAAUGUUUAAUCUAUGAAAAUUUCUUUAGCCACCUCCCUAUGGGGUCACCCCCAGCGAAAAUCCCAAAAUACUCCUGCUUCGGAAAUGAACUUCCGAAGCGCUUUUUUUUUAAAAAAAUUUCCAUAAUUCGGAAGUGCAUCUCCAAAAACACCUCAUGGGGGGUGUCUUCGGAGAUGAACUUCCGAAAACACCUCAUGGGGGUGAAUUCGGAAGUUCAUUUCCGAAUUAUGCAGAAACUGUGUUUUUUUUUAUGCUUUAUUUAAAACAGUCUCGCAUUUUAAUUAAACGUAAACGCCAAAUAAAAUAAGCAAUAGAUAAACUGAAAAUACUAAUAUGAUAAAUAAACAAAAAAAAAUACUAAUCCGAUGAAAAUAAUAUAUACAAACCGAAACAAAUAAAAAUAGUGUGCUAAAGAUACAAUCUGAAAACAAAAAAUAAAUAAACCCGACCACUACUGGGUGUGCCUAACCCUCUCACCCUGGGCCCUCCUCUGCCGCCUGUACCCCGCCGCACGGCCCGCAUCAGUGACGAUCAUCUCCAUCACGGCGACUGCAUCUGGACCGCCCUGUUGAACGACACCUCGAUCCAACGCGUCCCGCCCAAGCAUCUCUAUCCGCUGGCAGAUCGGCAGGAGAUCAAUGGCGUGGUCAUCCUCGGCCUGCUGGUUCUCCAGGAUCUCCUCAUGUGCUGGCCUAGGAGCGCCGGGAACGUCGGGUCUCAGCAGAGGAUGGGACACCCGGUAGAACCAUGUGACGUACCCCUCCUCACUGUGCCAGUCCUGUGUGACCCGAGUGAGACGGUACUCCUGCGGUACCACAUGAUGCUUCCAGUCCUCCCAUAUGGCUGUGAGCUGCACUCGGGUCAUUGUGUUAGGAGCUGCCUCAAAGGGUGACCUGGGUAUCCGCUGCACGAAUCCGAACUGACGCAUGCACCGCUCAGGGAUAUACCGGACCAUGAUGCCGGUCCCGCAUGCCAACCAGCCUGAAUAUAGAGCAAUGCCGUCAAAGGGGACAAUCUGAGCGUAGUCGACGAACGGCCUCCAGGUGAUGUCGUCGUGCAUCAUGCGGUCCAAGUACAGACGGUAUGGUCCCACCGCAUCGUUCCCCCUCUAGAGAGCGUAUCUGGCGGCCCUGGGCAUGGCGUCCACGUACGCAGGAUCGAUGUGAAAGCCGUGGAUGC